GCAGCCGGGGGGCGCUAAUGUCAAAAUGUGCUAUUUCCCCCCGGCUGCCGGGGGGCGCUAGUGACAAAACUGUCUAUUUCCCCCCGGCCAGUAGGGGCGUUGGUGUUUAAAUAGCUAUUGCACACCUGAAUCAGUGAACACAAUCAGGUGGAUACUACGGGAAAAUACAGUACAGUAGUUGUUACUUCAAGCAGAGUCAACACUGACCACUGCUUCAAGUAAAAGAAAACGACCAGUAAAAAAUAAAAUUAUGUAACAAGUCGCUUGCUUGCUUGUUAUUUAAUUUUAUUUCACCUGAUAUUUUAAUUUCAAUAAAAAGCAGUACCCAGUACUAAGAUAACAACUCACAGGCUUCGCAAAGGGCACAGCGCCCUUUUUGCUGCCGGGGGGAAAUAGACAAUUUUGACACUAGCGCCCACCGGCUGCCGGGGGGAAAUAGAUUUUACC